rnacentral:rRNA from 1 species
UGGGGAAUAUUGCACAAUGGGCGCAAGCCUGAUGCAGCCAUGCCGCGUGUGUGAAGAAGGCCUCGGGUUGUAAAGCACUUUCAGCGAGGAGGAAGGUGGUGAACUUAAUACGUUCAUCAAUUGACGUUACUCGCAGAAGAAGCACCGGCUAACUCCGUGCCAGCAGCCGCGGUAAUACGGAGGGUGCAAGCGUUAAUCGGAAUUACUGGGCGUAAAGCGCACGCAGGCGGUUUGUUAAGUCAGAUGUGAAAUCCCCGGGCUCAACCUGGGAACUGCAUUUGAAACUGGCAAGCUAGAGUCUCGUAGAGGGGGUAGAAUUCCAGGUGGUAGCGGUGAAAUGCGUAGAGAUCUGGAGGAAUACCGGUGGCGAAGGCGGCCCCCAUGGACGGAAGACUGACCGCUCAGGUGCGAAAGCGUGGGGAGCAAAACAGGAUUAGGAUAACCCUGGUAGUCCACGCUGUAAACGAUGUCGAUUUUGGAGGUUGUGCCCUUGAGGCGUGGCUUCCGGAGCUAACGCGUUAAAUCGACCGCCUGGGGAGUACGGCCGCAAGGUUAAAACUCAAAUGAAUUGACGGGGUCAUAGCUGUUUCCU